GGAUGAACGCUGGCGGCGUGCCUACUCCAUGCAAGUCGAGCGAACAGACGAGGAGCUUGCUCCUCUGACGUUAGCGGCGGACGGGUGAGUAACACGUGGAUAACCUACCUAUAAGACUGGGAUAACUUCGGGAAACCGGAGCUAAUACCGGAUAAUAUAUUGAACCGCAUGGUUCAAUAGUGAAAGACGGUUUUGCUGUCACUUAUAGAUGGAUCCGCGCCGCAUUAGCUAGUUGGUAAGGUAACGGCUUACCAAGGCAACGAUGCGUAGCCGACCUGAGAGGGUGAUCGGCCACACUGGAACUGAGACACGGUCCAGACUCCUACGGGAGGCAGCAGUAGGGAAUCUUCCGCAAUGGGCGAAAGCCUGACGGAGCAACGCCGCGUGAGUGAUGAAGGUCUUCGGAUCGUAAAACUCUGUUAUUAGGGAAGAACAAAUGUGUAAGUAACUAUGCACGUCUUGACGGUACCUAACCAGAAAGCCACGGCUAACUACGUG
rnacentral:rRNA from 1 species